rnacentral:rRNA from 1 species
UGCCUGUAAGACUGGGAUAACUUCGGGAAACCGGAGCUAAUACCGGAUAGUAUUUCCUUUCUCCUGAUUGGAAAUGGAAAGACGGUUUCGGCUGUCACUUACAGAUGGGCCCGCGGUGCAUUAGCUAGUUGGUGGGGUAAUGGCCCACCAAGGCGACGAUGCAUAGCCGACCUGAGAGGGUGAUCGGCCACACUGGGACUGAGACACGGCCCAGACUCCUACGGGAGGCAGCAGUAGGGAAUCUUCCGCAAUGGACGAAAGUCUGACGGAGCAACGCCGCGUGAGCGAUGAAGGCCUUCGGGUCGUAAAGCUCUGUUGUUAGGGAAGAAUAAGUACGAGAGUAACUGCUCGUACCUUGACGGUACCUAACCAGAAAGCCCCGGCUAACUACGUGCCAGCAGCCGCGGUAAUACGUAGGGGGCAAGCGUUGUCCGGAAUUAUUGGGCGUAAAGGGCUCGUAGGCGGUUUCUUAAGUCUGAUGUGAAAGCCCACAGCUCAAC